GACAUGACUCUCGGCAAUGGAUAUCUUGGCUCUUGCAUCGAUGAAGAGCGCAGCGAAAUGCGAUACGUGGUGCGAAUUGCAGAAUCCCGCGAAC
rnacentral:rRNA from 15 species